GGAAGCGUAGCGAAGCGGUCAUAACGCGGUGGUCCCGAAAACCAUUUGGGUUCACGCCCACGGGGGUUCGAAUCCCUCCGCUUCCG
rnacentral:tRNA from 1 species